CCAAAUGAGUCAAUCCCGCCCUGUCGCCGUCACCACGAUGUAGCUGUUGUCAUAGUCGUCCUGAUGCUGUACCUGCACAUCCUGUACACCCGUCCAGCGCAUCAGAAGUAGCUCUUCCAGAAACCAAAUCUGCCAAUCCAGCCCUCUUGCCAUCACCACAUUUAGGUGUUGUAAUCGUCCUGAUGCUGUAACUGUACGUCCUGUACACCUGUCCAGCGCAUCAGAAGUAGCAGUUCCAGAAACCAAAUCUGCCAAUCGCGCCCUGUUGCCAUCACCACAAUGUAGGCGUUGUAUAAUUGUCCUGAUGCUGUGUCUGCACGUACUGCCCGGCUGUCCAGCGCAUCAGAGGCAGCUCUUCCAGAAACCAGAUCUGCCAAUCACGCCCUGUCGCCGUCACCACAAUG